UGGGAAGUUGCGCUAAACAAACACAAAGAAAAAAAAAGUAACACGUACACAAAUAACAAUUCACUUUCUAACUUUUUCAGGAUAUUUGAACUGCAUUUUGUGUCUUUCUCAGGUGUUCUUUUUUAUCAGUUGUUCACAAAUGCAAAUGUUUAGGUAAAUAAUUAAAUAAAUUCAGCCGCAUUAAUUUGAAAAUGGGGAUCAAUUAGUAACAAUAAGAGAAUCUGCUGUGUGGAGACGUUACUAACUACCUAGCUACAUCCAUGACAAACAGAGACAGAAAAAAGCUCUAAGGAAUGGUGAGAUGAGGGACACACAGCUGUACAGGUUGUAAGUGGACUUGCACAAACAACACGUCUUAAAUGGUAUGAUUCUUUUUUAGUGAAUAGUUUUGUUUGAUGUUAAAGAAUAAGGUUAACUGCUCUCAGCAACAGCUUGUGUGAUUGGUUCAGACAAAACCAACAGCUGAGUUCCUCCCAAACAGAAAUCAGCUAACCUGAACACAAUGUCAGACUGAGUGACUGAAGGGAAACCAAACUAUUCAGUGGGAUCAUCAUUUUUGCUCUUUUAUAAACAUUAAUCCCAGUUAAAGUCAAUCUUUGUUGGCUGAAUGUGCAUUGAAUCAAAUUGCUGUUUGACUGUUUGAACUGAGCAGCUCUCAGUGUGACUCUGUGGAUCUGUUCAUUAUGAUCAGACUGCAGGAUCGUACAGGGAGAUAGUAACUAUUGAUUGUUCAUCUUUCCAACAGCACUGCGGGAUGGAAACAUUCGUCUAAUCAAUGCAGAAAUCCUCGUCCAUACAGGAAGUGAAGGAGGAAACUUCACAGUUAAAUGCUCCUUCUCUUCGUCUGGAAGAAGGAAGAUCUUCUGUAAGAGAAAAUGUAAAGGAAAAGACAUUCUCAUUGAAACAAAUGAGGACAGAGCUCAGAGUGGCAGAUACAGCAUUGAAUAUAAAGAAAGAACUGAUGGAUCUGCACUUCUGUAUGUGAGCAUCACAAACCUGACUAAGUCUGACUCGGGGCGGUACAGAUGUUGGUUGGACAUAAAAUGGUCACGAGAUUUAACCGAGGACUUUGAGCUCAGAGUUAAAGAUGCACAUUUUACACCAUCAGUCCCAUCAGCCUCCACACCGACAACAACGCAGAGUUUAAACUCCAGUUCAGGAAGCUCCACACCUUCAUCAUCCUCCCCUGAAACCCCCAUACUGUCUGAACAGCAACAGAGAGCUGCAGGUCCAGGUGUGCAACUGUAUGUACGUCUGACUGUGGUCAUCACGAUCAUUGUAUUAUCAGCAGCUGCACUGAUAUUCUGCAGGAAGAGGGCCAGUGAACCAAAAGGUGAGGAUGAAGGAAACCGAACAAACACAACUGAACAUGUAAAACAUUUCUGACAAAAAACACAUUUUAUGUAUCAAACCAGUUCCCUUUUACUGCUAAUAAUGUUUAUCACAGAUCAGGACUGCCUUAUGCAUGCAAGCGGUGUUUUAUAAAAGUAGUAGUAUUUUCAUCCACAAAAUGAGCCAGCACUUUCUUGUGUGUAAAAACUAGUUUUUAAUUUGUCAUCGGUCCAUUUUGCCUAAUCUUUACAGUUCCUCAGAUUCGGUGAAAACACCAACAGAGAUAUUUAGUUUCUGUUAGUUACUGGAACGUUGUGAUAGAAAUGGGCUUUAUGUUUCUCUGUGACUAAUCCAGAUGUUUUAACAGUGGACCUAAUCUUCUGAACUUCACGUUUUUCAGAAUCUCCUGUGGAGUAUGUUAAUGUCAUUGAAUGUUUUAAAUGUUUGGUUUGUGUUAAAAUCAGUUGGUUUCACAAAGCCCUGUUCUCUUCCUGCAGGCCAGGAUCAGAGAGGAGGACAGACAGAGCAGAUCUCCUCCUGAAGAAAUGUCUACAGUUUACAUUCACUGCAGCCAGUUCUCAGAGUAAGGUGAGUUCAAACUGUGGUAGGGGUUUAAAGGUCCAGGACAAACCAAACAGGUUGUUUCAGUUGGUUACAAUCUGCAAUCUCACCACUAGAUGACACUAAAUCCUACACACUGCUCAUUUAACUUUGGGUUUAGACAACAGUGUCUUUAGACUUCACCCACUAUAAUAAGUUGAGUAGAUAAGAACGUACAGCAGAGGGAUGAUUUACAGUGGCAAUAUAGAGAGACUGUGGACAUGUUUUAUAAAUGUGGUCUCACAAGUACUUUACGUCAGUAUGUUUCUGAGUAACGUGCAGUCUGUUUAAGAAACGGGAACACGGCCAGUUUGUGAUCAUAUCUCAAGCUACAAGAUUCUGUGGGUUUGAGGAGGAAGUCCUCGGACUGAAUGUUUCAUUGCAAAGAGAGAGGGAAAGGUUGUGUACUGAGAUACAGGGUUCAAUAUCAAAUAAAAAAUGAGUAGAUAAAAGCCUGUUUACAGUUCACAUGAAGCAGAACACAUGCUGAAACGAUGCUUAUGUGACCAAACAGGUGAGUAAACUCAACAACCAGCUGACUGCAGCUGAGGGGCUUCCUGUCCUGGGACUACAGGAAGGGCAGUUAUUGUAACUGACUGUUAACAUGCAUGUUUGAGCUGAAAUAUAGAACCAUAAAAUAUGAAUAACCCACACUGAAACAUCAGCCUGUAGUUGUUUAAACAGCCUGCACUACAGUUGUGUGGAAGUGCAUUGAGUUGCAGUACCACCAGUGGCCACUAGAGGCCGGCUGCAACAACCUCUGGUUCUAUAAUAAACUUCACACUGGAAAUAAAAGAGAACCAUGAAACUGUGAAAAUUAACUUCACACACAACUGACAGUGUUCAAUACUGGAUUUAAGAUGCUGAUAGAAAUAUUUUAUUCUUUUAAAAUUCUGAUAAUCUGCUGACAUUGUUUUUGUUUUUUACUUAAAAAAAAUAAAGCUUCCAGUUGUUAUUCAGACUAAAACAGUCAGUGAGUGUUUGUUUUCUUCCAGACUUCCAGUAAACUCACCUACUCUGAGCUCCAACAGUGCAGCUGCCUGGUUCAACAGCGCCCCCUGUGGUGAUGCAGAUAAUGUUAUGUGGCUAAAUUCUCAGGAUUUAACAUUUGAAAUAAAUUGCUUCAGGGAUUGUACUGGACUCUUUCUCACAACUUCAGUUCUUCUGUAAAGACAAAAGAUCUUGACUUUUAAUUGUUCACCCUCUCGUGUUACUUCAUGUUACAAAAAUGAUCUCUUUUCUUCAGUACAUAAUAAAAUGUUUUUCACACAUUCAUUCAUUCGCUUUUUUUCUACUAAAGCAAAAACUCUCCUGUUGUAAAAAAACAAAAGAAAGAACUCUUUGAAUAAGUUGGGCUUUAUUGAAACAGCAGAUUUAUUUACUUGUUUUUAAGAAAGAAAGACAUUUAUAUAACUCAAUAAUGGACUAAAUGGACAGUGAGAGGGGGUUUCUGUCCGUGUGGACACACUGUAGUCAUGCAGUUUGUUUACAAUUUGUUUUUGACUCUGCUGUGGAACAAAGAAUCAGAAAGAGGAAAGGAAAGUUGAGUUUGUGGUUUCGGAGGAGGGACUCCAUGAUUUAGAGAAAUGAGAAGUUCCUAAUU
ensembl:lncRNA